rnacentral:rRNA from 1 species
ACACAUGCAGUCGAGCGGUAACAGGUCCAGCUUGCUGGAUGCUGACGAGCGGCGGACGGGUGAGUAACGCAUAGGAAUCUACCCGGUAGUGGGGGAUAACCUGGGGAAACCCAGGCUAAUACCGCAUACGUCCUACGGGAGAAAGGGGGCUUAGGCUCCCGCUAUUGGAUGAGCCUAUGCCGGAUUAGCUGGUUGGUGAGGUAAUGGCUCACCAAGGCGACGAUCCGUAGCUGGUCUGAGAGGAUGAUCAGCCACAUCGGGACUGAGACACGGCCCGAACUCCUACGGGAGGCAGCAGUGGGGAAUAUUGGACAAUGGGGGCAACCCUGAUCCAGCCAUGCCGCGUGUGUGAAGAAGGCCCUCGGGUUGUAAAGCACUUUCAGCGAGGAAGAACGCCUGUCGGUUAAUACCCGGCAGGAAAGACAUCACUCGCAGAAGAAGCACCGGCUAACUCCGUGCCAGCAGCCGCGGUAAUACGGAGGGUGCAAGCGUUAAUCGGAAUUACUGGGCGUAAAGCGCGCGUAGGUGGCUUGAUAAGCCGGUUGUGAAAGCCCCGGGCUCAACCUGGGAACGGCAUCCGGAACUAUUAGGCUAGAGUGCAGGAGAGGAAGGUAGAAUUCCCGGUGUAGCGGUGAAAUGCGUAGAGAUCGGGAGGAAUACCAGUGGCGAAGGCGGCCUUCUGGACUGACACUGACACUGAGGUGCGAAAGCGUGGGUAGCAAACAGGAUUAGAUACCCUGGUAGUCCACGCCGUAAACGAUGUCGACCAGCCGUUGGGUGCCUAGCGCACUUUGUGGCGA